GAACGAAGGAAGCAUGGUAAUGUGUACAAAAAUUGAUUUGGGUUUUUAGGCUUGCCCUCUCUGAUGUCUUGCAGCUUGAAUUUGAGGGUAUGGUUCCGCAGCAAAACG